UACGUAGGGUGCAAGCGUUGUCCGGAAUUAUUGGGCGUAAAGCGCUCGUAGGCGGUCUGUCGCGUCGGAUGUGAAAACCCAGGGCUCAACCCUGGGCCUGCAUUCGAUACGGGCAGACUAGAGUUCGGUAGGGGAGACUGGAAUUCCUGGUGUAGCGGUGAAAUGCGCAGAUAUCAGGAGGAACACCGGUGGCGAAGGCGGGUCUCUGGGCCGAUACUGACGCUGAGGCACGAAAGCGUGGGGAGCAAACAGG
rnacentral:rRNA from 1 species